rnacentral:rRNA from 2 species
CUAGUAUAAGCAUUAUACAGCGAAACUGCGAAUGGCUCAUUAAAUCAGUUAUCGUUUAUUUGAUAGUACCUUACUACUUGGAUAACCGUGGUAAUUCUAGAGCUAAUACAUGCUAAAAACCCCGACUCACGAAGGGGUGUAUUUAUUAGAUUAAAAACCAAUGCCCUUCGGGGCUCUUUGGUGAUUCAUAAUAACUUUUCGAAUCGCAUGGCCUUGCGCCGGCGAUGGUUCAUUCAAAUUUCUGCCCUAUCAACUUUCGAUGGCAGGGUCUUGGCCUGCCAUGGUUACAACGGGUAACGGAGGGUUAGGGCUCGACCCCGGAGAAGGAGCCUGAGAAACGGCUACUACAUCCAAGGAAGGCAGCAGGCGCGCAAAUUACCCAAUCCCGAUUCGGGGAGGUAGUGACAAUAAAUACUGAUACAGGGCUCUUUUGGGUCUUGUAAUUGGAAUGAGUACAAUUUAAAUCCCUUAACGAGGAACAAUUGGAGGGCAAGUCUGGUGCCAGCAGCCGCGGUAAUUCCAGCUCCAAUAGCGUAUAUUAAAGUUGUUGCAGUUAAAAAGCUCGUAGUUGAACCUUGGGCCUGGCUGGCCGGUCCGCCUCACCGCGUGCACUGGUUCGGCCGGGCCUUUCCCUCUGGGGAACCUCAUGGUCUUCACUGAUCGUGAUGGGGAACCAGGACUUUUACUGUGAAAAAAUUAGAGUGUUCAAAGCAGGCCUAUGCUCGAAUACAUUAGCAUGGAAUAAUAAAAUAGGACGUGUGGUUCUAUUUUGUUGGUUUCUAGGACCGCCGUAAUGAUUAAUAGGGACAGUCGGGGGCAUCAGUAUUCAAUUGUCAGAGGUGAAAUUCUUGGAUUUAUUGAAGACUAACUACUGCGAAAGCAUUUGCCAAGGAUGUUUUCAUUAAUCAGGAACGAAAGUUAGGGGAUCGAAGACGAUCAGAUACCGUCGUAGUCUUAACCAUAAACUAUGCCGACUAGGGAUCGGACGGUGUUACUUAUUGACCCGUUCGGCACCUUACGAGAAAUCAAAGUCUUUGGGUCU